rfam:Parcubacteria (Falkowbacteria) bacterium GW2011_GWF2_39_8 TT64_C0069, whole genome shotgun sequence.
GGAAGGAUCGCAUAGUGGUCGAGUGCGCUCGCUUGGAAAGCGGGUAAGCUGUAAAAGGCUUCGAGGGUUCGAAUCCCUCUCCUUCCG